rnacentral:lncRNA from 1 species
CACGCGAUGGGCUCGGCCUCGUCGUCCUCGACGAGGCGCGUGAGUGCCCCGACGACUGAGGCCCGGCGGCGGCUGCCGACGCGCGCCACCAGCGCGAGGACCGUGUCGCCGUGCAGCCGCGAUGCCGCGCGGUAGAUCACCUUGGCGGCCAGCGUCAGGCGGCGCCCGGUCUCGGCGAGGACCUCGCAGACGCACUCGACGGCGGCCGCGUCGUCGAUGAUACGGUAGAGGGCCGACUUGAUGUGUCGGUCGUGCGCGUCGUCGAGCAGCAGCCGCAGCGAGUCGCGGUCGUUCAAAGCGGCGGUCCUGGCGAUAAAAUUGCGACGGCGCUCCGAGGCCUCAUCGUCGGGGCCUCGGCUGUCGCUAUUGUCUGCAGUCGCUUCAUAUGGCGCGUCCGACGGCGUGCAAUCCAAUUGUGCGGCGUCGGCGGGACGCGCCCUUUUGCAGACGCGGUGGAGGUCGUCUUCCGAGACGGGCACGAUGUCGAGGCGGCGCUUGAGCAUGAUGAUGUCCCUCUGGCUCUUUUCGGAUCACGGCUGGUUGCCCAGAAUAGAACAGCAGACAAAGAGCGGAGCAGGGGCGAAAGGAGACUCGACGGCG